GAUGAACGCUGGCGGCGUGCCUAAUACAUGCAAGUCGAGCGAACAGACGAGGAGCUUGCUCCUCUGACGUUAGCGGCGGACGGGUGAGUAACACGUGGAUAACCUACCUAUAAGACUGGGAUAACUUCGGGAAACCGGAGCUAAUACCGGAUAAUAUAUUGAACCGCAUGGUUCAAUAGUGAAAUACGGUUUUUCUGUCACUUAUAGAUGUAUCCGCGCCGCAUUAGCUAGUUGGUAAGGUAACGGCUUACCAAGGCAACGAUGCGUAUCCGACCUGAGAGGGUGAUCGGCCACACGGGAAGUGAGACACGGUCCAGACUCCUACGGGAGGCAGCAGUAGGGAAUCUUCCGCAAUGGGCGAAAGCCUGACGGAGCAACGCCGCGUGAGUGAUGAAGGUCUUCGGAUCGUAAAACUCUGUUAUUAGGGAAGAACAAAUGUGUAAGUAACUAUGCACGUCUUGACGGUAACUAAUCAGAAAGCAACGGCUAACUACGUG
rnacentral:rRNA from 1 species